rnacentral:rRNA from 1 species
UACAUGGGGUGCAAACGUUGCUCGGAAUUAUUGGGCGUAAAGCGCGCGUAGGCGGUUACUCAAGUCGGAUGUGAAAGCCCUCGGCUUAACUGAGGAAGUGCACCCGAAACUGAGUAGCUAGAGUACUAAAGAGGGUCGCGGAAUUCCCGGUGUAGAGGUGAAAAUUCGUAGAUAUCGGGGAGGAACACCGGUGGCGAAGGCGGCGACCUGGGUAGAUACUGACGCAUGAGGCGGCGAAAAGCGGUGGGGAGACCAAACAGG